CGCGUAGGUGGUUCUGUAUGUCUACCGUGAAAGCGUACGGCUCAACCGUAUUGUGUCGGUAGAAACUGCAGGACUUGAGGCUGGGAGGGGCUGGUGGAAUUCCCUGUGUAGCGGUGAAAUGCGUAGAGAUGGGGGAGAACACUAGUGGCGAAGGCGGCCAGCUAGACCAGUUCUGACACUGAGGCGCGACAGCGUGGGGAGCAAACA
rnacentral:rRNA from 1 species